CCUACGGGAGGCAGCAGUGAGGAAUAUUGGACAAUGGGCGCAAGCCUGAUCCAGCCAUGCCGCGUGCAGGAAGACGGUCCUAUGGAUUGUAAACUGCUUUUAUACAGGAAGAAACACCUCUACGUGUAGAGACUUGACGGUACUGUAUGAAUAAGCAUCGGCUAACUCCGUGCCAGCAGCCGCGGUAAUACGGAGGAUGCAAGCGUUAUCCGGAAUCAUUGGGUUUAAAGGGUCCGUAGGCGGUUUAAUAAGUCAGUGGUGAAAGCCCAUCGCUCAACGAUGGAACGGCCAUUGAUACUGUUAAACUUGAAUUAUUAGGAAGUAACUAGAAUAUGUAGUGUAGCGGUGAAAUGCUUAGAGAUUACAUGGAAUACCAAUUGCGAAGGCAGGUUACUACUAAUAUAUUGACGCUGAUGGACGAAAGCGUGGGGAGCGAACAGGAUUAGAUACCCUGGUAGUCCACGCCGUAAACGAUGGAUACUAGCUGUUCGGAGCAAUCUGNGUGNGUAGAGAAGAGAGUAAGUAUACCACCGUCGGGUAGGUACGUUCGCGAGAAGAGAAAGUUAAAGUAAAGUUAGUACGGCGUAGAGACGUAGACGACGGACGACGACGAGGGGAGGAGG
rnacentral:rRNA from 1 species